AGCGAACGCUGGCGGCAGGCUUAACACAUGCAAGUCGAACGGGCACUUCGGUGCUAGUGGCAGACGGGUGAGUAACGCGUGGGAACGUGCCUUUCGGUUCGGAAUAAUCCAGGGAAACUUGGACUAAUACCGGAUACGCCCUUCGGGGGAAAGAUUUAUCGCCGAAAGAUCGGCCCGCGUCUGAUUAGCUAGUUGGUGAGGUAAAGGCUCACCAAGGCGACGAUCAGUAGCUGGUCUGAGAGGAUGAUCAGCCACAUUGGGACUGAGACACGGCCCAAACUCCUACGGGAGGCAGCAGUGGGGAAUAUUGGACAAUGGGCGAAAGCCUGAUCCAGCCAUGCCGCGUGAGUGAUGAAGGCCUUAGGGUUGUAAAGCUCUUUUGUCCGGGAAGAUAAUGACUGUACCGGAAGAAUAAGCCCCGGCUAACUUCGUGCCAGCAGCCGCAGUAAUAC
rnacentral:rRNA from 1 species